rnacentral:lncRNA from 1 species
UUACCUCCUACCCUCCCCACGGAUGAUCUUCCUUAAUAACAGAGUUUUCCAACACUCUUCUUCUGUACAACAAAACAGAGAUCAGAGACAGGUUUGGUUAGAAAGAGAGGAAGGGAAAGAAAGGGGUGAUUCCAUUUCAGUGCUUAGCCAGACCAAAUGGAUGCUCUCUUACAUUCUCUGUAAGUAUGCUGCUUUUUACAUUCUUGUUUUUCUUAUGUUUCCUUUGGUUUUCUCCUCUUCGAAAGAAAGAGAAAACAUCAGUUUGAUAAUGCUCCGAUUUCUGGAAGAUAUGGAAAUAUUGCAUUAAAAUUGGCUUGCUAUCUCAAGUGUUCUCUGCAAUUUUUUUUUGCCUGUUCUUUUCAGUGUACGGGUUUUCCAAAGAUCCAAAACGAUUCAAGUUCAUGAUUCCAUUGCUACCUAGCUACCUGCAUCGUGUUUUUCAUCUGUAACAAACUGUCACAUCUUCUGUCUAUUUAGAUUUCAUAAUGGAUGAACUCAAAUUGGGGAAAUUGUAUAAGAAAAGAGUCAGAGAGAGCUAAUAAUGCACACCAAAGCCAAAACACAUUUUCACUCAAAUCACAUCGAGUAUCAUUACAUUAGAAAUCAGGAUAGAAAACCACAAAAAACUUAUUCUAUACCCUCUGCACACCGGACAACAUCAAAUAGGAAUCGAAUCAAGUGGUUAAUCCUCCUUCACUAUGACUUUUUUUUCUUCCUCUGUUUCUUUUAUCAUAUGUAGGCAAGCUGCCAAUGUAUAAUUACACUCUAAGGAUUUUAUAUAGAAGGUUCUGUACAAAAUCACAAAUCAAGGACAAAAACUGGAUCAGAAGGAUGGAAGAAGAGAUACCCGAAACCGCUCCGGAUGAGAUGACAAACAAAAGAAUGACACACACUAACAAGCACACACUGUUUUUAAUGUGAGUAUUAAGGUAGUACUCUCUAGUAGGAAAAAAGGGAAAUUAGAAGAGAAAAAUUAAUGGGGCUCAGGACAUCUUAUUGGAUGUGUCUGAGCUAGAAUGCACCAAAACAUUCUAAGCCAGUAGCUGGGAAUGCAGAUCAUUAAAUGCCUUGUUGUAAAAUUCCAGGCCAAGAUGGCUGCAAUCCUAGGAUGAAAAAAAAUGGAUGAAAACUCAACAUGAGCUAUGUUGCUCAAGGGAACGAAUGAUGAGAUAUAUUGACUAUAGACCAAUGUUGUUUUCAGUAUAAGAGAUGAUCAGAGGUUUGUUAUAGACUAUGGAGGAGGACUCGUUUGCAAGGUGGUGGUUGUGAAAGAUUGUUUCCUGGAUUAGGAGAAGGGGACUCCAUUCCAAGUGUCUUAAGUAGGAAGUUCCUUUCCUGAAAAAGAAACAAAAACAUAGUGGUCAGUCUCAUAUGAAAGUUCGAGAUAAUGUUCCUGCAGGUGUGUACGCUAGCAUUUCUAUAUUAGAUUAAGAAAAGGAAAAAACAAUACAAGUAGUGCAGAACUCUAUUUUGAGUUUCACAUGCUCACACUUUUAGAGCAAAACCAUAUAUAAGAGGGGAACAGACCGGAGGAAAUUUAUGAGUAAAUGGAAUUGCAGCAUGGACUGAACCAGUAUUACAACUUGAGCAUGAAUAAAACUCUAAAAUGUUUUUCAAAAUAAAAAUUUCCAGUUUAAAAAAUCCUUAUUGGAUUGGUUAGAAAUUUGUCAUCCAGACUAUACUUUCUAGCACGAUGGAGGAAAGUAUGAUUCAGUUAAGUAACUUCUUUUUUACUAUCAAGGAGCACUAUGAUCAAAGCUCACUUUGGCAAAAACCAGAAUCCUAGUUGGCCUCACUAUGUUUCUUAGCAUUUUUCUUAGAGCUUAGAUGGGCUGUUGUCUUGAGAUGAUGACACCUAGGCAAUAACUCACAGAAAUUUUGGGGUGUAGACAUGUAGUUGAAUUACAUACUCAUCUGACUAUUAAUUCAGUGAUUAGUUACUAAUACUUAAAAUAUCUUGCACAUACACCACGGUCAAUUGGUGGUUUCUCCACUUAAAUGUAGAAAACGUGGAUAACUACAAAUAAUGAGAAAAAUUUAUGAGUGGUAAACCAUUGAUGAAGAAAUGGGAAAAGCCUAUUGUAUAAAUAUGCGAGGGAAAAGAGAGAUAGAGAGACACAGCACAAGAAAAAAUGCUUAAUGGAAUUUGGUUUUCAGAAAGCACUCUGCAGUCCUUGUUAUUCUCUAAUCUACCCUUUUUUUCUCCCUUUUCACUCUGUAAUCUACAUUUUUUUUUGUUUAUUUAGUUUUUUUCUUAGUAUUUGGUAUGGCAGUUUCUGCAAAUAUAGCUGUAUAGUGUAUUUAGAAAUGAAAUGUUACUCUCUGAUUUGCCUGGCUGUUUGUUUUUUUCUAAUUGAUAGUGUUUUAAUUUGUGAUAGCAGGAACUUCAAUUUGACUCUGGUUUAAAAUUUUGGGCCACUUCAAUUUCAGACAAGAAUCUAGUAACAGCUUUGCCAUUAUCAUUUCCACAGAUGCUUUCAGCACUAGCCACAAAAGUUACUAAUGCCUUGCCAGUUUGUUAACUCAAAGUGCUCCUAACACUAUUUGACUAACGAGUUCAAAGUCCUAGCAAUGGUUCAAACAACCUCUUAACGGUGGCUGAGAAGUAUAUGAAAGUUCUGCUGCUACUGCUGGUAUAAAUAGAUGCAUAACUAUUAAUCCACACUGGUAUUGUUCUUGGUAGGCUAGGCACUGAUAAGCUCACAACUCCACUACAAGUAUAAGUGCAGAUGGAAUUAAAGUCUUAAGAAAGAUAAAACAAGAACUAGUACCUGCUACUGCAACUUAUAUUAUCUGCUAGAGCUCCAAUUCUUAUAAAAUGGAUCUGUAGUUGGUAGAAUCAACAAUUCAAGAUAACUUACACUUUCCGAAAAUUUUGGGCUGGGAAUUCCUGCUGCUAGAGAUCUGAAAAGUGGGGUGACUUGGACUGGGGAACUGAAGUCUGCACUUGAUGAGGUAGAAGCAACUACAAUGUUUGUUUGGUCAUCACAAGAUGGGAUUAUCUCGACUGUGGUAAUAUAAGACAUUUCAUCAGAAACAUUAUCUUUUUUUAUCCACUUUAUAGUCAAUAAACAAGGUAUCCUAGGCCUUUAUACCAGAUAUAGAAUUUCAUUACCAUGAUCUGUGUUUGCACUGGAAAGAGCACCUUUCUCCUGUUCACUACCACAAUUUUGCUCUCCAAUAUGACUUGACAGUAUAUCCUGGUGCAGUGCAUGUAUCUUAACUUGAGUUUCUUCUCCUUUUUGCCCAGCCAGAUGAGGCAUCAGCGUUGACCCUGUACUGUAUUCAGAGCUGGCUGGAGAUGCCUCAUACAGAUCAGGUUGCCUAGAACAUAGUAAUCACUAGUUAGUGUUAAGUAAGAAAUUUUUCUAAAUCUGAAUGCAAGUCAACUGAUUUUUCUGUUACCUCCAAGAUGGUCGACUUCCCUCGUUACUGCUCCUUAAAUCCUCUAGCAAGUCUUUGAAAUCUUCAAGUUGAAAAUCAAUAUCAGAGAUUGUAUAUCUGAAGAUGUCAUUUUCUUUACUCUGAUUCAAAAAGUCUUGGAGAACCUGAAUAUAACAUAGGAUGAAGGUUAGGGACAUGUAAUGCAUAAAAUGGACUGUUAGCCCCAGGGUAUUUAAGAAUUAGCACUGUACUAAUUUUGAAGGUACUGUGAUGAUCAUAUUUGAUAUUGACAACACGAAAACAUAUAGGAAAUACAAAAUUACUUCUCACCUUCCAAGCAUUUUCCAGACUCUGUUCUGUAUUAUCUGUGUUAACUUUCAAUGCAAGUGAGCUGAGUAGCUCUGCUUGCUGCAUCAAAGCAGUUAUCUUCGGAUCAUCCUUUUUGAGAAAUGUUCCUUGAGUUCUAUUAUUCUGAGCUGCUAAUGAAUAAAGGAGAAAGAGAAUAUAAGUGUUAUAUUAUGAACAACUUCAAAGGAGUGAUUUGCUAUUGUCAAAAUUUCUCUUUGCAGGUCUGGUAAGAGUAAGAGCAACAGAAUCAAGUGCCGAUGCCAAGAAGUUUUUGCUUGAGGAGAUUUAC